GAUGAACGCUAGCGGGAGGCUUAAUACAUGCAAGUCGAGCGGUAACUACCUUCGGGUAGCUAGAGCGGCGCACGGGCGAGUAACGCGUACGCAAUCUGCCUUUCAGUGGGGAAUAGCCCUGGGAAACUGGGAUUAAUGCCCCAUAACAUUUGUUGGUCGCAUGGCCAGUAAAUUAAAGCUCCGGUGCUGGAAGAUGAGCGUGCGUCUGAUUAGCUAGUUGGUAGGGUAACGGCCUACCAAGGCGAUGACCAGUAGGGGGCGUGAGAGCGUGACCCCCCACACGGGUACUGAGACACGGACCCGACUCCUACGGGAGGCAGCAGUAAGGAAUAUUGGGCAAUGGAGGCAACUCUGACCCAGCCAUCCCGCGUGAAGGAAUAAGGCCCUAUGGUUGUAAACUCUUUAUCUGGAAGAAAUCUGGACAUUCAUGUGCAGUUGACGGUACCAGAGGAAUAAGCACCGGCUAACUCCGUGCCAGCAGCCGCGGUAAU
rnacentral:rRNA from 1 species